GAGUUUUAUUAAACUUAAUAGGACAUAUUUACGUUGUUGACCUGACAAAUUUUGUAAGAAUGUCUUUCAAAAGAUUCCUGAAUAGUUUUAUGAAGUGUCAGCCUAAUUAUUGCACUGAAAACAUAUAUGACGGAAUCGAAUUAAUGUUUGUAUGUUUUUAUAAAUUUAAACGUUUGCAACGAUAUAUGCUGAUUUAUGCACGAUAUACAAUUGUAUUGACAAACUGUAUCUCUGUUGUUUUAUGCUUUUUAUUAGAUAAGUUUUGUCUUCAUCUUAUAUUGGAAGUUAAAUCAAAGUUAGUGUCAUAACAUGGAACAUACUAUUUAGAUGUUGGUUUAUGAAAAUCACUAAAACAAAAAAGUAAAAGGAAAUAAUGUGUGACUAAAAAGAACUUGAUUGUUUUGUUUAAUAAUACAGCGUUGUUAUAUAAAAUU
rnacentral:misc_RNA from 1 species